rnacentral:lncRNA from 1 species
AAUGGCUCACUGAGUUAGUAGUUAAGUCAGUUAGUUAUGUUUGACUCAGUUAGUUAGGAAUGGUUAGUGAAUUUAGUUAGUUGGUUAUUUAGUUAAGGUUAGGUUAUUGAUGACUGGCUAACAUGGGUUAACACUUAAGUGGAAUUGAACUCCAUCGUGAAUGAUGACCUGUUGUGCAGGUUUUUCUUAGUUAUUAUUAAGUUG